AGAGUUUGAUCAUGGCUCAGAAUCAACGCUGGCGGCGCGCUUAACACAUGCAAGUCGAACGAGAAAGUGGAGCAAUCCAUGAGUACAGUGGCGUACGGGUGAGUAACACGUGGGUAAUCUACCUUUUAGUGUGGAAUAACCCUGGGAAACCGGGGCUAAUACCGCAUAAGCUCGAGAGAGGAAAGUCGCAAGACGCUGAAAGAGGAGCCCGCGGCCGAUUAGCUAGUUGGCAGGGUAAGAGCCUACCAAGGCAGAGAUCGGUAGCCGGCCUGAGAGGGCACACGGCCACACUGGCACUGAAACACGGGCCAGACUCCUACGGGAGGCAGCAGUGGGGAAUCUUGCACAAUGGGGGAAACCCUGAUGCAGCGACGCCGCGUGAGCGAUGAAGCCCUUCGGGGUGUAAAGCUCUUUCGGCAGGGAAGAUGAUGACGGUACCUGCAGAAGCAGCUGCGGCUAACUACGUGCCAGCAGCCGUGGUAAUACGUAGGCAGCGAGCGUUGUUCGGAGUUACUGGGCGUAAAGGGUGUGUAGGCGGUUGUUUAAGUUUGGUGUGAAAUCUCCCGGCUCAACUGGGAGGGUGCGCCGAAUACUGAAUGACUAGAGUGCGGGAGAGGAAAGUGGAAUUCCUGGUGUAGCGGUGAAAUGCGUAGAUAUCAGGAGGAACACCGGUGGUGUAGACGGCUUUCUGGACCGUAACUGACGCUGAGACACGAAAGCGUGGGUAGCAAACAGGAUUAGAUACCCCUGUAGUCC
rnacentral:rRNA from 1 species